GACGAACGCUGGCGGCGUGCUUAACACAUGCAAGUCGAACGAUGGAACCUAGCUUGCUAGGUCGAUUAGUGGCGAACGGGUGAGUAACACGUGACUAACCUGCCCCUUCUCUGGGAUAACGCUCCGAAAGGAGUGCUAAUACCGGAUACUCACACCGAGGCACAUGCCUUGGUGUGGAAAGUUUUUCGGAAAGGGAUGGAGUCGCGGCCUAUCAGCUUGUUGGUGAGGUAACGGCUCACCCAGGCGACGGCGGGUAGCCGGCCUGAGAGGGCGACCGGCCACCCUGGGACUGAGGAACGGCACAGACUCCUACGGGGGGCAGCAGUGGGGAAUUUUGCACAAGGGGCGCAAGCCUGAUGCAGCGACGCCGCGUGAGGGAUGAAGGUCUUCGGAUUGUAAACCUCUUUCAGUAGGGACGAAGCGAAAGUGACGGUACCUAAGGAAGAAGCACCGGCUAACUACGUGCUAGCCGCCGCGGUAA
rnacentral:rRNA from 1 species